UACGUAGGGUGCAAGCGUUGUCCGGAAUUAUUGGGCGUAAAGAGCUCGUAGGCGGUUUGUCGCGUCUGCUGUGAAAACCCGAGGCUCAACCUCGGGCCUGCAGUGGGUACGGGCAGACUAGAGUGCGGUAGGGGAGAUUGGAAUUCCUGGUGUAGCGGUGGAAUGCGCAGAUAUCAGGAGGAACACCGAUGGCGAAGGCAAAUCUCUGGGCCGUAACUGACGCUGAGGAGCGAAAGCAUGGGGAGC
rnacentral:rRNA from 1 species